GGGCGAUUAGCUCAGUUGGGAGAGCACCUCCCU
rnacentral:tRNA from 1 species